UCGUGGAUGGUGUAAUCGGCAACACGUCUGUUUCUGGAACAGAAAAGUCCUGGUUCGACUCCAGGUCCACGAG
rnacentral:tRNA from 1 species